rnacentral:lncRNA from 1 species
GAGAGAGGGCCAGAUGGACAGUAAUUGAGAGUGAAUUAUGAUUGGGGGAGGGGUGGGGUCAACCAUGAGAUAGACAGAGGGUUGGAGAGGUUGGUGGAGCAGAAUGGUGGAUAGGUCCGGGACUCUUGUGGGGAAACUGGGCUGUGUGGGUGGCUUUUGAGGCUAUAAGGGUAGAGCAGACAGUAGCCUCUGUACGGAGGAGGCAGGAGUCUGGAGGCCUCUCAUGAAGGGUUGGGAGAGGAGCCUUGGGGCUGCAGGAAAGCAGGAAGACUUAGGUAGCCCAGCGGCGCAGGAGUCACGUGACAGGAAACAGGGGUCAUAGCGUUUACUUUGAGAUGGGAACCAGAGACUCCUCCCUCAGCUCCACAGGCAGAAGAUCCUUCUAACAAAUCAGAGAUUCAGAAACUGCUGUCAGUUUGGCAGUGGAUGACGUCAGGUGGAUCUAAAGGCAGAGCCUUAGCUGCCUGUUGACCUCGAAGCCCUGCACGUGGGCCAGCCAUGCGGUUAGAGCUGACUGUGGACCAGAAGACCUGGCAGGUCCUUAUGACGUCCUAACUAAUCAGGAGCAGCAAAAGGCUCACCCUUCACAACGCCCCAUGUUUCUGCCUUACUUCUGGGAAAACUCACUUACACUUACAACCUGGUCUCCUGCAGAGAAGAAAGAUGCACACCAGCCCAAGGCCACUGGUCAGAGAAAGGCACCAGUCAGAGGAGCAGAGCUGAGGUGUGUCUCCAUGUGGGAGCAGAGGGGACUGUGAUGUUGACCCCAGAAUGCAUGCUGGAAGGAGUUCUGAGCCUGUCACUGAAACCGAAAGGUAAAUGGUGCCCACACAUGCAGAAUCUCUGAGGAUGGACUCCAGCGGGAAGACCCCGACUUCUGUCCUCACAACCUGCAAAUCUUACCCAGUUCUGGGGUGGUGAGGGAGCUCAGACUUAGAGUUUAGAAACCUUUGUCUGGGUCUUGUCUCUCUCCUUCACUUGCUGUGUGACCUUGGGCAAGUCUUUGCACCUCCUCUGAGUUGUAUUAAUGACCUGCAACAGCUUUUGUGUUAGGGAUCGUGGCUUUGUGUGCUGGCUUGGUUUCUCUCCCGCCCAUACCUCUGAGUGUUCACCCCUCAAUUAACAUCAUUUUAGAAACAAGUCACUGGGGAGGUGGAGACAGGGGGCUCCCUACAGUUCAGUGCUAGCCAGUCUGGCUGAAUUUGGGAACUCCAGGUCCAGUGAGACCUUGCCUCAAAAGAAAAGCAGAGAGCAACUGAGGUUGCUAAUGUCUCUCUACCCCAGGCCUACACAUAA